rnacentral:lncRNA from 1 species
UCACAUUAAUGCAUAUACUAGUACUCAUGUACAUGUACACAAUCACACAUGGAUUAAGCAAUUUUGAAUUGCAUUUAGCAACACCAUGGAUAAAACCUACUAAGGCAGAUGGCAAACGCCUGGAAUGCCGAUAUUGGAUACCGGUAAUCCAUUGUAAACACAUCCUUGUCCACUUUACCAAAUUGUAGGAUAACCUCCUCAUGUUCAGGUGUGAUCCCUCCACCCUCAGCCGAAGCAACUAGCUGAAAGUUCACCACCGAGGCAAUUGUUACGCGUCCAUUAAAAUUUAAACACCAGCUCUGUAGCUGCUCAUUCCAUAUGGGAGAUUUAAUUUUUAAGAUGAGCUGUCCAUCUCUCUGACUACAUAAAGGUCCAGAAAAGAUAUCGUUCGUGCUGUUAGGUAAAGAUGGAGGGGUGUCAAUGCUACUUUGCCGGAACUCAGUCUGUGUUGGAGCCACACCUCCUGGUUUAAUAGCAGAAGGGGAAAUUGUGUCCAUGACGCANUUACCCUUAUGAAUUUCUGUUGUUGAAUAUGUAUUCUGGAUACUUCUAACUUCUCUUCUUAAUAGGAGGUCCCUCUUCGCGAUCUUGAAGAUAAGGUCGUCGGCUUGUAUUUUUGUAAGGGUGAUGAUGACCAUCACCUCACAGAAAAAAUUCUGGAGGCCUAUGAACAGUUGGUUAAAGUGAAAAACUUCGAAAUUGUGCUUGUUUACAUUCACUACUCAUUUUUGGGGUUUCAACAUACAAGCGAAGAAUCAUACUGGAAAUGUUUCGGAGAAAUGCCUUGGUUGGCCCUCCCGUAUAAAGACCCGGUUUGUAACACGUUGCAGCAGGUUUUCAAUCAUCCUAAGUAUGCAGAUCCAGACGGGUCAGAGCCAAACCCUAAUCUUGUGAUUAUUGGACCAGAAGGAAAAUUUGUUGAACGGUUUGGUGCUGACAUCCUACUGAAAUAUGGAAUUUCAGCAUAUCCUUUCACCCGCAAAAAAGUUGCCAAGUUAGAGGCUAAAAAGAUGAGGAACAGUAAUCUUUUCAAUGGUGGAAAUAAAAACAUUCCUCUCGUACGAACAGAUGGGUCCAUAGUAAGUUUUUUUUUUGCAUUUUUGUGCUUGGUUCUACGAUCCCUACUCUCUGCUUGUUUCUCAGUAGUUGAAUAAAUUCUGGUCAUUGACAUUUGUUUUCGACUUUACAGGUUCAGUUGUCACAACUUAUGGGGAAGAGAAUCAUGCUUAUCGCUGAGAAUGGUAUAGGGCUCAACAAUCCAGAUGCCAAGUUUUGGCGGAUUCUACGAGCGAGGUAUCUCCAAAUGAAGGGCACAAGUGAUGAGUUUGAAGUUAUUCACAUCUGUACAAAAGAAGGAUAUUCUUAUGGUAAGAAUAUUGCAACUACACCAUGGUUGACGCUUCCUGCACAUAGCAAGGGAUCAAGUGGAAGCAGUCUGUUAGGAAAUUUUACUUCUGUUGGGGGGCUUUUUGCUUUUGAUCGUGAUGGAAGCCUAGUCAGGAGAACAAGAUACCCAUCAAUUAAAUGGGAGAAGAUGGACUUUCCCUUUUAUUCUGGUGUUUGGAAGGAGGUGUUGAGGGAUAUAAUAGGAAGGUACCAAUGGAACUCUUUAAAUUAGUAUAUGGGGUUUGCUCUGAGCCUCUUACUAAUAGUAUCAGGUUAAGGUGUUUUAAUUUAUCUUUAACAAAAACAUGGUUAUUGUAUUGAUGUUAUGCCAAUGUUGGUACUAUGAAGUUUUAAAUGGAAGAGGGAAGAUGAUUAAUCAGUGAUGAAGUUUGAAAAACGGAGAAGUGAUGGCUAGAAAUCUAAUUUUGGAGGUCGGAUUUCAUUAAUCCUUAGUUUUGAUGUAAAUAUAAGGGAGAUUACAGUGUCUUUUAAUGAAAAAUCAUUCCCAGCUAUUUAUCUUCGCUGAUAAUACGUUACUAAUAGAUUGUUUCAAAUCAUUAUUCAAACGGAUAUAUAUCAGCAUUGCUAUCAGCAAACUCAUUCAAAAAAUGACAUCUUAUUCGUUUUGUUAUUAAAUUUUAUUUGUAUUUGAGGUAUAUCAUGUUAUGUUGAUAAGCAGUAGUAUUUCAUCAUUGCUACACAUUUGAAACUAUGAUUGCUUUUUCUUCUUUUUUUCCUAGACACGACUGAUUUUUGUUGUUCUGUUUAUCUCUAUGUUUGACACGUAUGAAGUGCUAACUCUGGAUCCAAAUAAUAAAAACUUUAAAAGAAAUUUAAAGAAUUAUGUUCACAAAAACAGCACAUAGGUCAUGAGACUAUACUUAUCUAUUCUCCCCAUGAAUUCACCGUUAUUAAGAUACGAGAGUUUAUCAAAAUCUCUCAAAUUUAUAAACUUCUGCGCUUAGCAUGUGCCUAUGGGCCCACACAAAACAAAUAUCUUUCAAAAUACGAGAUGAAAACAGUGUGCACGUAAACAAAACGGGGUGAUUAAUUAAUGCUCACAUUAAUGCAUAUACUAGUACUCAUGUACAUGUACACAAUCACACAUGGAUUAAGCAAUUUUGAAUUGCAUUUAGCAACACCAUGGAUAAAACCUACUAAGGCAGAUGGCAAACGCCUGGAAUGCCGAUAUUGGAUACCGGUAAUCCAUUGUAAACACAUCCUUGUCCACUUUACCAAAUUGUAGGAUAACCUCCUCAUGUUCAGGUGUGAUCCCUCCACCCUCAGCCGAAGCAACUAGCUGAAAGUUCACCACCGAGGCAAUUGUUACGCGUCCAUUAAAAUUUAAACACCAGCUCUGUAGCUGCUCAUUCCAUAUGGGAGAUUUAAUUUUUAAGAUGAGCUGUCCAUCUCUCUGACUACAUAAAGGUCCAGAAAAGAUAUCGUUCGUGCUGUUAGGUAAAGAUGGAGGGGUGUCAAUGCUACUUUGCCGGAACUCAGUCUGUGUUGGAGCCACACCUCCUGGUUUAAUAGCAGAAGGGGAAAUUGUGUCCAUGACGCAAUGCAUUCUUCUCCUGCUGAAUCCAACAAAGUAAUGUAAAGUAUUCCAGUCAAACCAAUACGUUUUACCCAUGGGGUAAGCUGUAUUAUAUCUAAACUUUGAACAGAACAUAGCUGCUUACCCUUCUACUUAUAACCUUAUUCUAUAAAACUUCUUUUGAAAUGUAUGCAAUAGAUUCACCUUUAGAAAAAAACUAUAUUUCCUGUGCAGAAAACUGUUGUACCCUCUUUUCACACACACUGCGGAUUGUAUACAUGCUAAAACUAUUUUAAUCUUACAUUUAUAUACUCUGAUAGAUUUGUGCAGCAUAAUUUCUUUGUGAUUGCUAUAUUGCUAUUUUUCUUUUUCUAAAUUGCUAUAAUACCAUUCAUAAACGAUAAUAAAAUAGAAUGAUGCAUGAGGAUUUUGCUUACCUGGUUUCAAAUGAAAUGUGCGCUACUGGAUAGCUUCCAGAAGGAACACAAGGCAAAACUUGUUUUGAUCCUAUUAGCCUCGUGAAACGACUCCUUGUCAUUUUAGCUCCCGUAUGAAAUGGCAGAGCAUCAUAUACGGAAAACUUUGUCAUUAAGUAAUUAGAUCUUUCACCAAGGAAGAACAAGGGGAAAAAAGAACAAUUAAAAUGGCAGAAAUGAAUAGGAUUCAAAUAUCAAACAGGUUAGGUUAUAGAACACACUUCAGCUUUCCAAUAUAUGCACAGCUCCGUUUUGACAUAUCAUCAGCAUUGAGAGAGAUGAUAUAUUCUGUGAGAGUUGCAUGUCUGGACUUUCGAGCACCAAGAAGAAACUUUCCAUUUUCAGCCAGCGCUAUUGAUGAAGAUCAGAUAAAGAACAAAAGUCAAAGACAGUACAGUAAGGAAUGGAGAAACCUAGCCGAGAAAUGAAUACCCCACCAAGGGUCCAAUACUUGUCAGUUGUCGCAAAAACAUAAACAAGAGAUAUAGGCAUACUCCGAGAAACUGGAAAACCGUUCAGCAUUAACAUGUCAAAGUUUUAGUAUUUGGUUCUCUAUUUCAUACCAUGUCUAUCACAUUGAAUUAUUGAACAGAAGUCAACUUCACAGCAACUGAUUUAAUAUAAACAACUGUUUUGAUCACCGAAAACGAUAGCCCAUAUAAUAAGAUGGUUUUGCCGCACUGUUGCCAAGAUAUUCAAAAAACUACAGAAGCAUAUAUUAAUGCACACCUUGAGAUAAACUGAGGUACAAAUUAUAUGAAUGUGCCAACCCACUCCCACUCCCUUUUCUAAAACUCCUUUUUAUAAAACACCGGAUAAAGGAAUCUCUAGGACCAGGCUGCAAAUUAAUUAUUGAACAUAAAAUGAGAAGAAAGAAUGAAAUGCAAGUACUAAAACUAGAAUUGACAUUAAAAUUAAGAUAAAACAUGGUAAAACAUGUUACUCUAAUGCGGGUCACUGUAUUACAAUACAAUGUCAACAAUCCUAGAGUAACUAUUUUGAAGAUUGAUAAAGCACAAAAAUGGGAAUCAAUCUUUUAGAAGAAGGCAUAUACAAUCAGCUUCAUAUUUACAAUGGUCAGCGUAAAAAAAUUCGAAACAAAACUUGAAGCAAACAAUUGGUUGAUAUUGUCUGCAUUUCCUUAUUUCUUUUUCCCCAAAAAAUUGUCCACGUUAUGUUAAUAUGGUAAAUUUCAUGUAAGUUGGUUGAUAAAUUUAAAAGAUGAUACGCAUAUUUUGUAGAAUUAAAGUUGGAUUUCGAUUAAUGGACAAGAAAAACAGCACGGAGGGAGUAUUUGGUUUAGGAUUACAAGAGGGGGAGGGGCAGGUCACAGGGCCUUGGAAGUUUCUCUUUUGGUGUAUACUGGUACUUUCCACACCCACAAUUCAUUGAACUGUCUUUUUCCGUUGUUCCGCUAGUUCUGGAAAAUCUACAAUUUAUUGUAUUGUUGUUCAAUGCUGUAUCGCCUUUUUUUUUGCCCCAUAUUUCCAAAAAAAUCCAAAAUGCUUCAUGAAAAUCUUGAUAUCCCGGCAUUACAACAGAAACACCUGUCUACAUCCUACUAUAUCUGUUCCAAUCACAAAUUGUAAUCCUGGCCAUAUACAUGCACUUUACUUGCUUUAAAAUUUAUCCAUGUUAUAAGUAAUUAUAUACUUACAUCUAAAUAAAAUCGAAACACAUUCAUAUAGGCCUCCCGUCCUACUAUAUCUGUUCCGAUCACAAAUUGUAAUCCUGGCCAUAUACAUGCACUUUACUUGCUUUAAAAUUUAUCCAUGUUAUAGAUAAUUAUAUACUUACAUCUAAAUAAAAUCGAAACACAUUCAUAUAGGCCUCCUUUUGUUUCAGUGAUUUUAUAGGUAUUUCAACUUCUACGGAACUAUGUUACAACUAGUUCCAUGGAAAAUAAAGUAUAAGUGUUUUGUUCACCACUAUGUAACUGGUACUCACUUGUUUUCUUUUAAGUCGUUUAACGUAUUUUAACACAGAUUAAGAAAGUUCAUUAUUACACUAAAAAAUCAUUUAUUAGCCCUUUCUUUUCCAUUUUUGCACUCAUUUAGUGUCUUUCCUCUCUCUUUCUUCUCCUGACUCAUAGUAUUAUAUAAGGGUAUUAAAAGUCAUUAGACAACCCAAUUGUUCUUGAAAAGAGAGAACGGCCUAUCUAUACUAUACUAUAAUAAGCCAACAUGGGUAUAAUUUGUAGUCCAAGAUUUUAGUUAUAUUUUUUGGUUUGGUACUCUCCUUUUGGUACUACAAGUCUACAAAUGUGGAGUCUAUUAGUAUUAUAUUGUUAAACAGUUUCAAAUACUAAAAACACUUAUAACAAUUCAUUAUCAUAUAAUAUUUCAUUAAAAAAUUAUGAUAAUGUUAUAAAUAAAAUUAUAAAUAUACAAGAUAUUUAACAAGAACAUUCAUAUAACUCUUUUUAACUAACACGAACCAUUACAUAACCCUUUCUAACUCUAAUCUUAAAAGUUAUUGUUGUCAAAAAAAACCAAGAUUACAAAAUUAUGUUGAAAUUCGAUUGAUUAGAUUACUGAAUCUUUCAAAGAUAUUACACGAUCCGCUAUAUUUAUUAGAGUUUGUCCAUUUUCAAAUAAUCGGAAGAAAAUAUAGUCAGUUGAAUAAUAUAAUUUAAUUAAAAUUCAAUCCAUUAAUACUAAAAUACUAAUAAAAUGAUGUUAAAAUUUAAAUUAUAAAUAAUAAAUUAUGAAUUAUAUACCCGCCCGUGCUUCGCACGGGUUAAAGGCUAGUAUUUAUAACAAAUAGUGACAUUUUCUAAAACGGACUAAUAAAAGAAAAUAGAGGGAGUAAUUUAUUAAAUCACUUAAUAAUCUAAUCACCAUUUGACUUAAAAAAACCAUAGGUCACCUACAUAACUUGAAAAUCUUAGAACCCUAAGUUCCUCUAUCCAACUUAUAGCUAGCCAACCAAAUAGUAAAGCAUUUAGGUUCCAAGGUACUUGCGGUUUCAUAACUGAGGCACAUUGAAACAAAUGAAAUCAUAGGCGUCAAUAGACGCACAUAACUAAUCCGUUUGUUUGCAUGAAAAACACGAUUUCAAAUAACAAUUUCCCAACAAACAAACAAAAAAUCUUUCCGGCAAAUGAUUUCUCAAAACACAACUCAAGUCCUUUCUAAUCUUCUUAAUCAAAGUCAUAAUUAAACAUCUCAAAACCAAUAUUCUAAACAUCGGUGAACUCAGACAAGCACUCAGAGAUUAGCAAUCAACUAAAUCAUAGUACUCCCUCCGUCCCAAAAUACAUGUCGCUUUGACUUUUUGCACGUAAUUUAAUGUGCAAAUAAAACAUACUUCUAUAUAUUAUUUUUUAUAUUUCCUUUUUCUAAAUAAAAGUAUAACAUCCAUAUUUUUAUUCAGAAAAAGAAAAUUUGAAAAAUAAUAUAUAGACAUAUGUUUUAUUCGCACCUCAAAUUACGUGAAAAAAAUCAAAGUGACAUGUAUUGUGGGACGGAGGGAGUAACUUAUAGAGUAAUUCAGCGACGAGACCGAUUUCCUUGAAAUUUCCUAAUUUCUAUUUCGAUAACCGGCAGUUAUUUUUCCAAAAACUAAAUAAUUUAUCUAUGCUCAGUUGUCCCGAAUAACUGGUUUCGACUAUCGCUCGUCCCGAAAGUAUUUGAACAAAUAAUAAAACCUAGAUAUUCAAAAAAGAACACAAACAAACGCGAUAAAAUCAGAAAAACUCGAAAACAAACCUGUUUGACCGAAAUCGGAAAAGUCAAGACUCCCGAAACUUCCGGAAGCCUAACAAUCUCCUUGAUCAACACGUUCCUCCAACUCCGACACACUCCGGCACACGCCACCACGCUCCUCCUCAUCGGCCACUCACUCUCCGACGCCUCCACCUUCAUCAACACUUCUCUCAACAAAUCCUCCGGCAUUAUCGCCCACCGGCAACUGCUCUCCGGCCUAGGCUUCGAUCGGAAUCCGAUGUAACUAAGUUUCAUCUUCGCGUGGAGUCANUCAAACGACUCAAACCAACAGAAUAACAAUAAGUUGUUGUGAAACGGCGUCGUUAAGGAGUGUUAGUACUUAGUUGAGAGAGAAAUCGGUGGAUUUAAUUUAACAAAAAGCGCAAGCCGAGCAAGAUUGAUAGCUCAAGGUAGGGGUGUACACGGGUCGGUGAAAUCGACAAAACCAAUCCAAACUGAUCAUAUUUUAUCCGAAUUAAUAAGAAUUUUUUUGACUUAAUUGCUAAUUGAAUUAAAAAAAUGAAUAACACGAUUUAAUUGGGCUGGACAAAGAUCUCAGGUUUUUUAACCGAUCCAACCCAACCCGAUUAGAAAAUAUUAAAUUACAUAUAAAAAUUAUUCACCCCACCCCACCCUAGUUUUAAAUACAAUAACAAUAAAUUGUUGUGAAAACGGCGUCGCUAAGGAGUGUUAGUUGAGAGAGAAAUCGGUGGAUUUAGAUUUAACCAGUGUUGUAAAAAGCGGGAAUCGGAUUUAAUCGGUGAAGUCACGGAACAAGAAUUAAUCGGAGAUUAAUUGAAUUGAUCGGAGAUUAAUCGGAUCAGUUCGGCGAGCCGGGGAACAGGGAUUAAUCGGUGAUUACGUCAGUGACUUUUAGAACAGAGGAUUUAACAAAAAGUGCAAGCCGAGCAAGAUUGAUAGCCCAAGGUAGGGGUGUACACGGGUCGGUGAAAUCGACCGGACCAAUCCAAACCGAUCAUAUUUUAUCCGAAUUAAUCAGAAUUUUUUUGGCCUAAUUGUUAAUUGGAUUUAAAAAAAAUGAGUAACACGAUUUAAUUGGGCUGGAUAAGGAUUUCGGGUUUUUUAACCGAUCCAACCCAACCCGAUUAAAAAAUAUUAAAUUACAUAUAAAAAAUUGUUCACCCCACCCCACUCUAGUUUUAAAUACAAUAAUCAUGUUUAUGUCAAACAUAAAAAUUUAUGUUCGACAUAAAUAUGGUUAUUGUAUUGAUGUUAUGCCAAUGUUGGUACUAUGAUGUUUUAAGUGGAAAAAUGAAAAUGAUUAAUCAGUUAUCACUAUGAAAUGGAUGAAGUUUUAAAAAGUGGAGAAAUGACGUUAGAACUCUAAUUUUGGAGAUUCGUCUCUUAAAAUUAUAAAUCCUGCGGAACUAUUCGGCUUUCAUUAAUCCUUAAUUUUGAUGUAAAUAGAAAAGAGGUUACAGCGUCUUUUAAUGAAAAAUCAUUUACCAUUCCCAGUUAUUUAUCUUCGCUGAUAAUGCGUUACUAAUAGAUUGUUUCGAAUCAUUAUCAAAACUGAUAUAUAUCAGUAUUGCUAAUUUGCUAUCAGCAAACUCCUUCAAAAAAUGACGUCCUAUUCGUUUUGUUAUUCAAUUUUUGUAUUUGAUGUAUAUCAUGUCAUGUUGAUAAAUAGUAGUAUUUCAUCAUUGCUACAAAUUUGAAACUAUGACUGCUUUUCUUUAUUACUAUUUUUUUUUAGAUAUGACUGAUUUCUGUUGAUCUGUUUAUCUCUAUGUUUGACACGUACGAAGUGCUGACUCUGGAUCCAAAUAAUAAAAACUGUAGAAAUUUAAAGGAAUUAUCUGUCCACAAAAACAGGGCAUAGUUCAUGAGACUAUACUUAUCUAUUCUCCAUCUUCACCUCCCUUGUCUGCUGGUAAUUUUGUGUUGUACAAAACAGAAGCCUGUAACAAAAACUGAAGGAAUUUCCGAAUAAGAAGCCAUGAGAGCUGCAGAUGAUCCUUGGAGAGAAGAAAGAAGCCAGGGCUUGUUAGGCAACUUCUGUAGUAGCUUUUGCAACUCUAUCUCUUCAUGGUCUCUUUCUUCUACUUCUACCAAUUUAAGUAUAUUUUGUUACUACUAUAUAUCACAAAUAUAUAUCAUACGAUUUCUUCAACUCAACUGAGCAUGAAUCUGCAGUACCCCUAAUAAUAUGUGUCUAUUUUCACUGUUUAUUGCAGUCUCUACUUGGUUUGUUGUUGCUGGCUCUUACAGGACUGUCUUCCUGGCCUUCGUCGUCCUGCUCACCACAGAAAUCAUCCUCCUGACCCUCCUGGUCAUCAUCCCAGGCCAACUGAUCCUCUUGUUGGUCCUAGUCCUGCUCCUUCUCGUUUUGGGACUCCCGGAGGUCUGCCUGGUGUUGCUAACCCGCUGGCUGGUCCUAUGGGCGGGACUCCCGGAGGUCCGCCUGGUGUUCCUAACCCGCUGGCUGGUCCUCCGGGCGAAGAUCCGGUCAGGUUUGAGCCACCAGGCCCACCUGAACCCCCUGGUCCUCGCCGCUACUGAUCUUUAGGUUUCAAUUAUAUGUUGUGUAUAAGUGCACUGGUAUCAGAAUGUUUCCCGGAACUAAUGCUUCAAUGAAGUGCAAAUGUAUGUACAACUUUCAAUUUACCAAGUUCAUGUGAUGUGCUUGAUUACAUGAAACAGGUAUUGUAAUAAUAAAUUUACACUAAUAAACAGGAACUGUUUCCAAUGAUUACCUCUAGAAAUGUUUGUUUCUCUACAAAACAAGUGCUGAAGAUAAGGCAACAAGACAAGAGAAUAUAUUUCAGUGACUGAUAAACAUAUAAGUUUUUAGAUACCACAAGUAUUUUAAAAAGUUAAGACAACAAUCACAUUCGCCAAGAGUACAGUGGUAAAGACUGGACUAGAACAAGUCUCACAGAGCUCGACCGGCUACAAGCCUACAACUACUAUGAAGAAGAACCCAAAUAAAGUUAAAUAUCGAGAAAGUAGGCACAAUUGGUGCAUGCCUCUCUUGAUGUCUGGGCAAUUAACAUUAAUGGCAGAAGAACAAACCAUAUGAACAAGCUAUCUUGGGUCCUGUGUAAUCUACGCCUUUGUCAAUAAGAUGUGAGGCCUUUGUCUAUGCUGAAACAAAUGACAUGUUCCACAGUAUUAGCACAUGGAAAUACUAAUUUGUGUUUCUAAUUUAUGCCACAAGUAUGUUAACAUGACAAAGGUUUAACUUCAACAGAUAAAUUACUACAUAUAUUUUUUCUAGCCCCACUUGGCUUGUUAUCUUUUCAAGCUGAUAUUAUUACAACUCCCGUUAAUUUCCACAAAUGGUCAAAUUCAAACCAAAAUGAAGGUCAUAAUUAACUUCUAUAAACCAUAUUCAAAUUUACCUAAUCAACGAUACAAAUAUUAGUUUCAUAAGGAAUAACAACCUGAAUUGACAUCCCAGUUAGUUUAAUAAGGAAUAAAAAAUUGAAUAGACAUCCCAGUAUGAAUUUGUUAGGACAAUAAAGGACCCUCCCCUCUUCUAAAUGUUAUUGGAAGAAACUAUGAUCAUCCAACUUAAUCAAAUCCUGAUGUUAGUUCAAAACCCAGCUUUAGACCUCUUCAUCUAGUAGAUAAAAACCAAAGACAAUAUUCAAAGAUGAAAAAAAAAACAAUAGUAGCAUUGUGUUGGUAGUGGGAGGAGUGGAAUUGAGCAGUGUGAAAUAUAGGUAUGUUUACUUUCCAUCAAAUCAAGUGGCGGAACAGACAUUAGAAACAUGCAGUGCUACAGUGGGGAAUCCAGAAGUGACAGCAUACUCAAAACUAAAGUACAAGCACCCUAGAAAACAGGGAACUAAAAACAAUCCACAAGCUAAACCACUUUCUCUUUCUUAUUUCCGUGUGUUGUGUGUUUGGCAACAUUAACACUAGCUAAUAUAUCAUGGCUCCAUUAAGCAUGAGAAUAGCUACGUUAAUGUAGAUCUUGAGAGAUGUGUGUGUGUGUGUGUGUGUAAGAAGUUUCUAGGGUUAUUCUUACCUGUAAUUCAUUCACAAGCAAUCUUUGUGUCAAAGCUACUAAGGCAGAUGGCAAACGCCUGGAAUGCCGAUAUUGGAUACCGGUAAUCCAUUGUAAACACAUCCUUGUCCACUUUACCAAAUUGUAGAAUAACCUCCUCAUGUUCAGGUGUGAUCCCUCCACCUUCAGCAGAAGCAACUAGCUGAAAGUUCUUCACCGAGGCAAUUGUUACACGUCCAUUAAAAUUUAAACACCAGCAUUGUAGCUGCUCAUGCCAUCUGGGAGAUUUAUUUUUUAAGAUGAGCUGUCCAUCUCUCUGACUACAUAAAGGUCCGGAAAAGAUCUCGUUCGUGAUGAUAGGUAAAGAUGGAGGGGUGUCAAUGCUACUUUGCCGAAACUCAGUCUGUGUUGGAGCCACACCUCCUGGUUUAAUAGCAGAAGGGGAAAUUGUGUCCAUGACGCAAUGCAUUCUUCUUGGGCCCCUGCUGAAUCAAAAAAGUAAGGUAAAGUAUUCCAGUCAAACCAAUACGCUUUACCCAUGGGGUAAGCUGUAUUAUAUUAAACUUGGUACAGAACAUAGUUGCUUACCCUUCCACUUAUAACUUAUUCUAUAAAACUUCUUUUGACAUGUAUGGAAUAGAUUCACCUUUAGAAAAAACUAUAUUUUCUGUGCAGAAAACUGUUGUACCC